ACUGCAAAACUGGAGAUAACAGUGAGGAAGACUUCACAUGGGGUAACAAGAGAUUUGCAGAGGAAUAGUAAGUAGACAGUAUUUUUGUUGAAACCAUCAUUGUGGAGAAACAAGAGGAAGAUACAAAGCAAAGGAUAGAAUUUCGAGAUCCUCCACCAAUGUGCCCAGUGGAGUCACCUGACGGAGCAAGAGAAAUUGUACUGCCAGAGAUGUGCACCCCAUGGGCAGCCGAAACCCAGGUGAGGUACGGGCUAAAUGAGGGUGAAUACCUUGCCUGUGGUUGCACAGUUCUAAGUGCCAGGAGUAAUACUGAACCCGGGUCUGAAUUCAGAGUCCAUGCCAUUUCUACUGCCCGGGAUGUGGUACUGGGUCUUCUGCCUGCUCUCCUGGAGGAAUCCCAUCAAGAUGAUUCAAACCUUCCCCUUUGGUUCUUCAACCCUGGAGCCCCAUCAUCCUUGCAUUGGCUAAGGAGACAUCUUACUAGAAAGCACAGUGCUCCUGGGCAUUGGAUUUCAGUUCUGCCAGACCUGGCCCUGCCGGAAGCUAUGAACUCUUGAGCAAGUUACUCAAUCUCUCCAUUAAAAUAGGAGUAUGAAUAAUGUCUAGCCCUAAGCAUCGUUGUGAAGAAACAGGAGAUAAUGCAUGCAGUGGUCUUGGCACCGUUCCUGGCACAGAGUAAGUGCUCAAUAAGUGGUCGUCAUGGUAACAGCUGCCCCAGAUUUCUGCUCCUCUGUGGCUCAGAUGUCCUCCCUGAACCUCAGCAAUCAGAGCGGUAGGGAGGGAGAAGGAGGGAUUGGUGGUGGGAAGACACAAUUUGCAUAGGCAUUUACAUAUUAAGAAAACUCUUUUUAUUUCACAAUGGAACAAGUCUUUUGAAGCAAAGCUGUACAGUCUAGUGACAAUUUAAACAAAUUCAAAUUGGAAAGUUACAAGGGAGAUUACAGAAGGAAAUAGGAGGACUCCAGCCUUAAUGGAUUGAAAUCCCAGAGGCCCUGAGCCAAGCCAGCUCCAAAAUCAGCCUUGGCUCCUGCUUGUGCUGAACAGGAAUCCUUCCCCAGGCUCCACAGGAGCUGAAAUGAGGGCAGAGUGGAGAUCAUGGUGCAUGAGGGCCUGAUCGACUUUAAGCCAUAAACUCGUCUGGAUCCCCAUCUCUGUUCCCAAGGAAGUUAUAUGUCAGUAAAUGGAAUAAACCUGUAUAGGGCUCGUGUUGGUGAGCCUGUCUCUCAUGGGUGCCAAGUCCUGAAAUAAAUCUCAGCAUUCGCAGCCACCUGACUUCAGUGGCUUUGUCUCAGCUGCCUUGUCUGCGUCCAGGGCGGCUCUGGGUCGGUGUUGACUUCCUAAGGUGGGGAAGCUGGCAACAGUGGGACAAGCACGGAAACUAGAAGGUAGUUCACUCCCCACUGAGUGCGUGGGAUCGUGACCAGGGUCAUCAUCACGCUGGCCUUGUACUUAGUAAUCGCCUCUAAAAACAGCUCGAGACUGUGCAGAGAGAGCUGGGGAGACAGAGAGAUGAUGUCCCACAGGUGUAGAGCAGGACGGCCCAUCACAGCCACCCAUCGCAGCAGCAGCGUGGCCUGGAGCAGGGGCCAGAGCUUCAUGUGCUCGCAGCAGAACAGGGUUCCCACCCCGCUCUGUCACUUGCCAGCAGAGUGAUUUCAUUUACUCAUGUUCUCUAAGCCUCAGU